UACAGAGGUCUCAAGCGUUGUUCGGAUUCAUUGGGCGUAAAGGGUGCGUAGGCGGCGCGGUAAGUCGGGUGUGAAAUCUCGGAGCUUAACUCCGAAACUGCAUUCGAUACUGCCGUGCUUGAGGACUGGAGAGGAGACUGGAAUUUACGGUGUAGCGGUGAAAUGCGUAGAUAUCGUAAGGAAGACCAGUGGCGAAGGCGGGUCUCUGGACAGCUCCUGACGCUGAGGCGCGAAGGCUAGGGGGGAGCAAAACGGGG
rnacentral:rRNA from 1 species